GUAGAGCGUCGGUCUCCAAAACCGAAGGUUGGGGGUUCGAGACCCUCUUGGCCUG
rfam:Thiobacillus sp. SCN 63-1177 ABS89_C0046, whole genome shotgun sequence.